UGAAAGGGAAGACCAAAGGAAGGCCUGUCAUGGGAUUUGAAUUUGACCAUCUUGUGCGUUUAUGGAGAAGACCAAAAGCUGCAAAGGCAAACACUUCCAAUGUGGCACAAACUGGAGAGAGACUGCUGUUCUGGGCACUAUGUUUAUCUGGGAAAAGUUUGACAUAUCAAUAAACAUUGGAAAAUGACUACAAAA